UGCGAACGCUGGCGGCAGGCCUAACACAUGCAAGUCGAACGGGUCCUUUGGGACUAGUGGCGGACGGGUGAGUAACGCGUGGGAACGUGCCCCUUGGUACGGAAUAGCCCCGGGAAACUGGGAGUAAUACCGUAUGUGGUCGAGAGACGAAAGAUUUAUCGCCAAGGGAUCGGCCCGCGUUGGAUUAGGUAGUUGGUGGGGUAAUGGCCUACCAAGCCGACGAUCCAUAGCUGGUUUGAGAGGAUGAUCAGCCACACUGGGACUGAGACACGGCCCAGCCUCCUACGGGAGGCAGCAGUGGGGAAUAUUGGACAAUGGGCGGAAGCCUGAUCCAGCCAUGCCGCGUGAGUGAUGAAGGCCUUCGGGUUGUAAAGCUCUUUCGGCGGGGACGAUAAUGACGGUACCAGCAGAAGAAGCCCCGGCUAACUUCGUGCCAUCCGCCGCCGUAA
rnacentral:rRNA from 1 species